AUUUUUAUAACAUACUUCAUGGGUUGCUUUGCAGCAGUUCACUAAGCAACAACACAGGUAAUAGAGAUGGAACCAACGGUCAAAUCACAAGUGAUAACAAGAUGCUGGGUGAUAAGGUUUUUUUAAAGACAUUCUAUCAGAAUUAUAAGCAGUAAGAAAUGACCUGCAGGAAGGCACCAGAGUGGGUGCUGUGCAGAAAAGAGACAUUAACAAGAGUUUCAUGUGGA
rnacentral:lncRNA from 1 species